CAAAGGCAUGUCCAGCCUUUUACAUCUGUAGUCACUGCUAAACUGAAGCAAAGUAUAAAGUAAUUAAAAUUUCUACAAAUUAAAGCAAUUGUCUUGCGAUCUAACGUGGAAGUAUUAUUAUAAAUUACUGUUUGACUUUUAGCAAACUUAGCGUGGUUGAAAAACGCAGGUAACGCAGCUGGAUAGAAAGAAACAAAAGCGGGCAAGAUGGGAGAAGAGAAGAGAAGAGUAGAGAGUGAAAGAGGAGAAGACUAUAGGAUAGGUGGAAGUUCGAUUCAGGGCGAAAGGGAAGGAUUAAUGGCGCAAGCGGGACACACCGCGGCCAUAAAUCGCCGCACGGCCAGGAAUUACCGGCUCGCAACUUGCGAAAUAUGACGGUCUCAUAAAUCCGAGUCCACUAGCCCGCGCGCCUCCAUCGACUAUGUCAACUAGCCCCGCUUCCAAUUCUCGCUGCUAUGUCGCGAUCUCGCUUCCGCCUCUAACUCUCUGCCUAACCUCAUCUCCCUUUCCUUCUCUCCUUCACCCACCAUCUCUCUUUCGUGUGCGGGAGAAUCCACCGUGCACUAUGUGUAUACGUUUCAGCUUGGCGUGCAACGGCCAUUUAUAACUUGCGCGCCUGGAAAAGCGAGGUCCAUAACCUAAUACGUUCGUUCCGCUCGCCGACGAGAGGCGAGAAAGGAGUUAAACAAAGAACGGGACACGACGAUUUAGAGGACGGGGAUAGAUGUAUGGAGACACCGGUGUGUCGUAAUGACGCGCCACCUCGAGCAAUCAGUUCACUUACCCGCUUUGCCGUGCUUAGAGAUUUAUGUCUCUUGCCGCGAUUUUCGUUUCGCGCCUCGCUAUUUCAUUCCUCUUGCGCUUCCUCGGAACGUUUAAUCCCCUUUCAACUGUGUAUACGACGUCGAAGAUUGUUUAUUGCAACAGGCGCGGGACACCAUACGAACCCCCCACCAGCUGAUGCCUUAGGACAGGGCUGAUGAACUUCUCUGCCAGGAGCUACAUGAGGCGCACGGACCCCUCUCUCUCUCAGUCGAUUACCCCAUCAUCAGCAGGCUAGCCACGCCUUUUUCCAAGUCUCCAGAGGAGCCUCAAGGGCCAACAGGAGUAACGGCCCAAAUUGGAAUUGAUCUUGGGGGACUCACGCGACGAAACAGAGAAACUCGGACAAUCCUUGUCUCUUCUGCAUCGAAAGACAAGAAUAGCGCGAUAGUAAGACAUGUUGAUAUAAAAAGAGAAAUAAUGAGAUAAUAGUUACAUCAAUUUUCGAGGAACCUUUCGCCUUAUCCUCGUAUACAUUUCUAGUUAGUAUCGAGCUGACAAUACGAUUAGAAAGUAAAAUAUUUCGUGUUACGUAAGACAGAGAUAAAAGGUAAUGCCACUCAGGGAACGUAAUAACUGUUGCGAUUAGUACAUUGGAAGCAUUACGUAAAUGCGAAAGUGCCAAUAAUAUGCUACAAUUUAUUACAGGCUAAACGAAAUAAUAAUGUGCACGUGCUUCUUCUGAAAAAAGUUGUUUUCCAUUUCGUAAUGCUCGCAUUAACACCGGUGUAAUUAUACCUACUAAUUAGCAGGAGAUUUAUCUGAAAUUUUUUAAGUAAAAUGUUUAACUAGCUAAUGUAAACUGGAAAUAAAACCUUUCGUUUUUAAGUCAGAAAGUUAACUCAAACUGUGUAUAACUUAAAUUAUGUAUGUAUAAUUCAAUCUCAAACGCAUGAAUAACUUUUUUGGAUGAAAAGGUCAAAGAAAUAAAAUAUGUGUUUAAAGAAACAUUCUGUAAGAUUGAAGAUCAUUCUGCAGAACGAAGAGCUCGAGCAUAAAUUAAUUAGAAGAAUUUUAAUUCCACCAUUAAGCAUAAAUUUUCAUUAUCACUUUGUUGGCUAAUAUCACAUAUCUCUGAAUUCUACAUUCCAGUAUUCAAAUGUAGUGAUGUAUGCAUUAGUUAUAAUUAAAAACUGUUCACUUUAUAGCCGAUAUUACCGAGUAUGGGGGAUACAGGUUGUUCAUCGCCCAAGAGAGGCUAAUUAAAGAAGCGGCGUUUCAAUUGGUUAUAUCUGUGCACGGAUAAUAAAAUUUAAUUUUAUGGCAUCAUUUAAGAAAUCCUCGAAUUAU